rnacentral:rRNA from 1 species
UACGUAGGGUGCGAGCGUUAAUCGGAAUUACUGGGCGUAAAGCGCGUGUAGGCGGCUCUUCAAGUCAGGCGUGAAAGCCCCGGGCCCAACUCGGGAACUGCGCUUGAUACUGUCGAGCUAGAGUGUGGAAGGGGCGAUUGGAAUUCCGUGUGUAGCGGUGAAAUGCGUAGAUAUACGGAGGAACACCAGAGGCGAAGGCGGAUCGCUGGGCCAACACUGACGCUGAGACGCGAAAGCUAGGGUAGCAAACGGG